UCCAGCCGCGGGGCCGGCGGGUUACGCUGCGCCCCUCGGCGCCCACCCCGGCGGGGGCCCGGGCGGGGUGUGUCCUCCAGGAGCUGCGGGGACCCCUGCGGCCGGACCUUGCGACCCGUUUUCCAAUCCCGCGGUGGCGACGGCGACAGCAACGGUAAUAGUAUCGCCAGGAGAAAACAGAGGCCUCCCCAGCCACACUGGAAGGUACCAGCCAUUGCUGUCGCUCUCGGGGACUGCUACACCAGCCUCCUUCCUGGUGUCCUGUGCCUGCCCCUUCCCACUACCAUCAGCAGCCAGAGGGGUCCUGUUAAAAGCAAGGCACCUACACACCGCCCCCCUACCCCCCCCGCACAGAACCUGCAAUGGCCUCCCCACCAUGCUUAGUCCACAACCCGACCAGAUACCAUCCAGCAAUUCCAUUUCUGGGUCGGCACCCACAAGAAUUGAACGCAGGGACCCAAACAGAUAUUUGCACCCUAAGUUGAUAGCAUCAUUAUUCCGGAGAGCCAAGCAAUGGAAGCCAUCCAAGUGUCUGCCCACUGAUGAAUAAAGCAAAUGUGGCCUCUGCAUACGAUGGAAAAUGACUCAGCCUUAAAAACGAAAGAAAUGUUGACACAGGCUACAAACUCUGAGCCUUGAAGAUGCUGUGCUAAAUGAGAUAAGGCAGUCAAAGAAGGGCCGAUAUGGUGUGAGUUCUCAGAGUAUUCAAAUUCGUGGGGAAAGAGUAGAAUGGUGGUUGGCAGGGGCUGUGGGGAGGGAGAAGUGGGGAGUUCGUGUUUAAUGGAUGUGAACUUGGAGUUCUGCAAGAGGAGAGCACGCUGGGGAUGGACGUGGUAAGAUCUGCCCAACAGUGUGGACGUGCUUCAUGCCACAGAAACGUCCCCUUAAAAAAUGCUUAAGAUGCUUGGGGUCACCUGGGUGGCUCAGUCGGUUGAGCGGCCGACUUCGGCUCAGGUCAUGAUCU